UACCUAGGGGGGGCCUAUAAUGCAAGUCGAGCGCACAGCGAAAGGUGCUUGCACCUUUCAAGUGAGUGGCGAACGGGUGAGUAACACGUGGACAACCUGCCUCAAGGCUGGGGAUAACAUUUGGAAACAGAUGCUAAUACCGAAUAAAACUUAGUGUCGCAUGACACAAAGUUAAAAGGCGCUUCGGCGUCACCUAGAGAUGGAUCCGCGGUGCAUUAGUUAGUUGGUGGGGUAAAGGCCUACCAAGACAAUGAUGCAUAGCCGAGUUGAGAGACUGAUCGGCCACAUUGGGACUGAGACACGGCCCAAACUCCUACGGGAGGCUGCAGUAGGGAAUCUUCCACAAUGGGCGAAAGCCUGAUGGAGCAACGCCGCGUGUGUGAUGAAGGCUUUCGGGUCGUAAAGCACUGUUGUAUGGGAAGAACAGCUAGAAUAGGAAAUGAUUUUAGUUUGACGGUACCAUACCAGAAAGGGACGGCUAAAUACGUGCCAGCAGCCGCGGUAAUACGUAUGUCCCGAGCGUUAUCCGGAUUUAUUGGGCGUAAAGCGAGCGCAGACGGUUUAUUAAGUCUGAUGUGAAAGCCCGGAGCUCAACUCCGGAAUGGCAUUGGAAACUGGUUAACUUGAGUGCAGUAGAGGUAAGUGGAACUCCAUGUGUAGCGGUGGAAUGCGUAGAUAUAUGGAAGAACACCAGUGGCGAAGGCGGCUUACUGGACUGCAACUGACGUUGAGGCUCGAAAGUGUGGGUAGCAAACAGGAUUAGAUACCCUGGUAGUCCACACCGUAAACGAUGAACACUAGGUGUUAGGAGGUUUCCGCCUCUUAGUGCCGAAGCUAACGCAUUAAGUGUUCCGCCUGGGGAGUACGACCGCAAGGUUGAAACUCAAAGGAAAUUGACGGGGACCCGCACAAGCGGUGGAGCAUGUGGUUUAAUUCGAAGCAACGCGAAGAACCUUACCAGGUCUUGACAUCCUUUGAAGCUUUUAGAGAUAGAAGUGUUCUCUUCGGAGACCAAAGUGACAGGUGGUGCAUGGUCGUCGUCAGCUCCGU
rnacentral:rRNA from 1 species